rnacentral:rRNA from 1 species
UACAGAGGUCCCAAGCGUUGUUCGGAUUCACUGGGCGUAAAGGGUGCGUAGGUGGUGAGGUAAGUCGGAUGUGAAAGCUCCGAGCUCAACUCGGAAAUGGCAUUGGAAACUACCUUGCUCGAGGGUUUGAGGGGGGACUGGAAUACUUGGUGUAGCAGUGAAAUGCGUAGAUAUCAAGUAGAACACCAGUGGCGAAGGCGAGUCCCUGGAAAACUCCUGGACACUGAGGCACGAAAGCUAGGGGAGCAAACAGG